rnacentral:rRNA from 1 species
AUGAAAAAGAAUAAAAGCCCUGGACCAGAUGGAUUUCCUGCUGAUUUUUACCAGGAGUUCUAGAAUCUGGUUAAAUGGGGCCUUAAAGUCUUGAUACAAGAGUUUGCUAAAGGGAAAGUUGAUAUUUCUAGGCUAAACUAUGGCAUAAUUACAUUAGUGCCGAAAGCUGUUGAUGCUAAACAAAUCCAAAAAUUUAGACCAAUUUGUAUGUUGAAUGUUAGUUUCAAAAUUAUUACUAAAGUGUUGAUGAAUAGACUAACACAAUGUGUGUCCCCUGUCAUAUCUAAAACUCAAACAACAUUUAUCAAGGGAGAUAUAUUAUGGAAGGUGUGGUGA